UUUACAACUCAAGAGAAUAAGAAUAAAGUUAAGAUAUUAUAAUAUCGAUUUUUUUCCUUUUCAGAAUUCAUUAAGUUCCAAAAUGGACAGGUAUAUCGAAAAGGCAUACACUGAGAAAAAAUUCGAAAACACUGUCUCAAACAUAAUAAACCUGAGAAGUCUAAAUCUGAGUUAGUAAACAAACUUGACAAAGGUA
rnacentral:sRNA from 1 species